rnacentral:pre_miRNA from 1 species
AAGUUAAAAGGAGUAAGCAUUCAGUAACCCUCAAAGGCUUCCACGGCACCAAGUUACAUGUAAAUGUGAAGUCGUGGAAGUGUUUUUGGGUUUCCGAAGGCUUUAAUCCUAUGCAUCCU